UUGAGGGCAGUCUGGUGCCAGCAGCCGCGGUAAUUCCAGCUCCAAUAGCGUAUAUUAAAGUUGUUGCAGUUAAAAAGCUCGUAGUUGAAUUUCGGGAUCAAAUUGUCGGUCGUGCCUCGGUACGCACUGGUAUUAUUGGUUCCUACCUUCUGAAGAACCGCGAUGUCAUUAAUUUGGUGUCGUGGGGAAUCAGGACUGUUACUUUGAAAAAAUUAGAGUGUUUAAAGCUGGCUUACGCUUGAAUACAUUAGCAUGGAAUAAUGAAAUAGGACGUUUGAUUCUAUUUUGUUGGUUUCUAGGAUUGACGUAAUGAUUAAUAGGGAUAGUUGGGGGCAUUAGUAUUCAAUUGUCAGAGGUGAAAUUCUUGGAUUUAUUGAAGACUAACUACUGCGAAAGCAUUUGCCAAGGAUGUUUUCAUUAAUCAAGAACGAAAGUUAGGGGAUCGAAGACGAUCAGAUACCGUCGUAGUCUUAACCAUAAACUAUGCCGACUAGGGAUCGGAUGAUGUUAAUUUUUUAAUGACUCAUUCGGCGCCUUACGAGAAAC
rnacentral:rRNA from 1 species